GGGCUCGUAGCUCAGCCUGGUAGAGCAUCGCCCUUGCAAGGCGGGGGCCUCGGGUUCAAAUCCCGACGAGUCCA
rnacentral:tRNA from 1 species